UUACUGCUGAGGAGUCCCAUAAUAGGACGAAACGGCCGUCCAGUGC
rfam:Schistosoma mansoni, Puerto Rico, WGS project CABG01000000 data, contig: 0312